rnacentral:rRNA from 1 species
UGAGUACGGUGGCGCACGGGUGAGUAACACGUGACUUAUCUACCCUCGAGUGGGGAAUAACUUCGGGAAACCGAGGCUAAUACCGCAUAAUACCCACGGGUCAAAGGAGCAAUUCGCUUGAGGAGGAGGUCGCGGCCGAUUAGUUAGUUGGCGGGGUAAUGGUCCCACCAAGACGGUGAUCGGUAUCCGGCCUGAGAGGGCGCACGGACACACUGGAACUGAAACACGGUCCAGACUCCUACGGGAGGCAGCAGUGGGGAAUUUUGCGCAAUGGGGGAAACCCUGACGCAGCAACGCCGCGUGGAGGAUGAAGUCUCUUGGGACGUAAACUCCUUUCGAUCGGGACGAUUAUGACGGUACCGGAAGAAGAAGCCCCGGCUAACUUCGUG